GUGGACUCUAGGACUUUAUCGCCCCUCGUGGCGAGGAAGACUGUCACGUCCCGCGCCAGAGCCGCCACCGCGGACAGAUGCCCACCCAGACCCUCCCCUAUAGGUUAAGGUUUUGCGGCCGGAGUCCGCACCUUUGGGGGGGGGUACUGUCACGUUCUGACCUUUAUUUCCUUUGUUUUGUGUAUUUAUGUAGUAUGGUCAGGGUGUGAGUUGGGGUGGGCAGUCUAUGUUUGUUUUUCUAUGAUUUGGGGAUUUGUAUGUUUCGGCCUAGUAUGGUUCUCAAUCAGAGGCAGGUGUCAUUAGUUGUCUCUGAUUGAGAAUCAUACUUCGGUAGCUUGGGUUUCACUGUUUGUUUGUGGGUGUUUGUUUCCGUGUCUAUGUUGAUUGCUUGUGUCAGCCCAGUUUUCAUUAGCUUCACGGUCGUUAUUUCGUUUUAUUGUUUUUGUAUAUUUUGUGUGUUUCAGUGUUCAAUGUUUUCUUUAUUAAAAUUCAAGAACACAUACCACGUCGCAUUUUGGUCCUCCGAUCUUUCUCGCCUUUCCUCUUCAGAUGAAGAGGAGGACGUCCAUGACAAAGACAUGUUGAUGGAAGCUGGACAUCAAAUGUCUUAAUGAAGCAGAAUUCAAAUCGCAUAUGGAUGUUGAGACCAUGGUAGUAGAUGAGGAGGAGCAGUAUGACCAGGGUUAUUCUUGGCCGAGCAGUCCUUACAAAGCUUUCCUCCAAGGCUCUGAUGCAUCUAAUGUUGUCCAGAGGCCUGUGUCUGCAGGCUUCAGGAAAGUCAUUGGGCUGGACUGCCAUGUGGACAGUGCAGUGCAUUUGUGAAUGAAUGAAUGGAUGGAUACAUUUAAUUGAAUGAUACUGUAUUGAUCAGUUAGAGGGGAAAUUGUGUUUGAAGUUCACCACCACCGGUGUCGUGGAAAUAUUCAGUCAAUAAUAUUUCUCAAAUACCGGAGCCUGUGAGUUCAAAUAGACUUCUAUUACAAUACAAUAAAAGCCGAGCUGGUUCAUGAAAACUGCCUUUUCAACCUUGGCACACACUUCUAAUACAUUUUUCCUCCUUCCAUCACUCACAUAGUAACUCCUUUUUAUGUUAAUAAUUCAUCCCCUCUGGCAUUUAGCUACCGUUAUCUUUUUGCCUUGCACUAAUUUUAGUUUGGCUUCAUAUUAGGGCAUGGAAACAUGAGAUCCAUAGCAAUAGUUCAAAAAUAAACAGACAUGUCAUCCUGCUAACUCCUCUGAAAUGAACACACAUGUUCUGGAAAAUUCUCAAUUGGCGUAACCAUAGCAACAGUAAAUAUUAGGCCAUAGCACUGUUACAGAAAUAAACAGUCAUGUCCACUCCUCAGACACGUGCAUGUCUAAUGGUGUCUAAUGACCCAAAGCACAUAUAGAGUGCACUAUUCUUGCUGGCUCCUCUGAAAUGUAUAAUGGCCACACAUUGCCUCCAUCUUCUCUUGCUCUCUCCUCACCCUCAACAUUUAUGUUGCAUCUCGCUCCCUACACUGUACUGGCAGCACAGUGUGUGUGUGUUUCUCUUUCAUUAUGAUUAAACCAUGCUGUUAUGGCAAAAUACAAUUUGCUCUUAACGACAUUCCUAUACAGAUUAAAUGAUUAAAUCGCAAUCUGCUCUAUCUGCACUGAUUUGUGAAGUAAUUUAAUGUUGAGUUAAAUGUAAAAAAAUAUAUGUUUCAGAGGUUUAAAAAGGAACAGAAAGGAACGAUAUAAACCAAUACUUUGUUUGGUUUCCAAAAGCUGGUCGGAACAGUGGAACGGAACAAACAUUUUUUGUUUUUGUUUCAGAAUUAAAUGGUUGGAAAAUACAGUAAUUUCAGUUCCAACUCCUGGUAUGUGUGCCUGUGUGCGUGUUCCUGUCCUCGGCCCCCUUGUCAGGUAGAGGCACUGGUCUGACCAGCCCCAGAGAUGGAGGACUACAGUCACCUUUGGAACCUGAGCCACACACACCACACACACACACAUACACACACAGUUUAUCUCUAGCUAGCAGAAUGAACAGAGUGAUGGCUACUAGACUGGGGAAAUACAACAUGGGCCCAUCUUAUUAGUGUAGAAUACCGUAACCACCACAUUUACUUGUGCUAGAUCCCCAUCUCUCCCUUGUUCUAGUUAUUAUGUAUGUCAUGAAGAAUGGUUAGAGCGCUGUGUAUACAGAUGUUUCUGCAUGGAUGUGUGGUUUCUAGAAAUUGCACUCAUUUAAAUACACUUAUUCUGGUAUAAUAAUUCUCAAAGGAAUUAGAAUGGGGAGCUUCAUAACAGUGAUGAACGUACACAAUAGUUGGGCGAUAUUACUAUUCCAUGUAAUAGAAGCCAGCUUUGGAAAUUAGAAGAUAGAGUCUUAUUUAAGCAAUCAAUAACAAGUGAACAUUUUGUUUAAUGAAAACUAUAAUUUCAGCCAAUGGCAAUUAUGGCAUAGGGAGAUGUUUUGGUGUGGUAUGCACUUUAGUAAUAAAGAUGUUCUCAUUUUCUUAUCUAAAUCAUUAUUGACUUCGGGGGGUAGUUAUGACCCUGCUAAGGACCUCAUCAAUAGCUUUAUUUAUUACUUAUCGCG
ensembl:lncRNA